rnacentral:lncRNA from 1 species
GUAGCAUAAUGUAAGCAAAUGUGGAGGAAGAAGGAAAAAAGGCUCUCUUUUGCUGGGUGGAUGCAAGGAAUGAGGACGGUCCCAGUAGUUGCAAGAGAAUUGCAUGGAAACAAAUACAACUUUUGUACAAGAAAAUCCCAAAUAUCUAAGUUUGUAAAGAAUUUGUCCUGUGCCCAUUAAAUUAGUUUCAACGACGUGACAGCAGCUUUACACACACGUGCCAGACUAGUGAAACCAUCGAUUGUAGCUACCAAAUUUUUUGCCACGAUCUACAUAAGAAAUUUAUUGAGGAGGAUCACCCUGACUCUGCAUCAGUGCGAUGUGCAGAUCCAUAUCUAUUAAUACAACUAUGCUCCUUUGUUUUUAAGACAUCACACAUAAUUGAGAUCUCAAACUUCAAAUUGAAUCACCUGAUUUUGACCGGAUCAAUAAUUUUUCAAGGAGCUCUCUCAUUUAUUUUUUAAACCCUCCCAUGCAUUAAUUAACUAAGAAAGUUGAAUGCAAUUGUUCCUUUUUUUCGAGGUGCACCUAUGAAGUAUAAUUCCAUAUUUCAAGGUAUAAGAUUGCUAACCAGGACUGCUGCCUGGUGAAUGCAAUUGUUCCUUACUCAUUGUUCUUUUAAUCCACUAUGCUUCUUGAUUUUGGUGGUCUCCCAUUUAAUUGGGAUAUUCAAUUCUGGAUUUGAUUCAUCUUAUUGAUCGGGUCAACGAUUUCUCAAAAUACUCACCUGAUUUUACCGGAUCAACGGUUUUUUUUAAAUCUCACCUAAUUCUGACC